rnacentral:rRNA from 1 species
AUUGAACGCUGGCGGCAUGCCUUACACAUGCAAGUCGAACGGCAGCACGGGAGCAAUCCUGGUGGCGAGUGGCGAACGGGUGAGUAAAGUAUCGGAACGUGCCCAGUCGUGGGGGAUAACGUAGCGAAAGUUACGCUAAUACCGCAUACGAUCUAUGGAUGAAAGCGGGGGAUCGCAAGACCUCGCGCGAUUGGAGCGGCCGAUAUCAGAUUAGGUAGUUGGUGGGGUAAAGGCUCACCAAGCCGACGAUCUGUAGCUGGUCUGAGAGGACGACCAGCCACACUGGGACUGAGACACGGACCAGACUCCUACGGGAGGCAGCAGUGGGGAAGUUUGGACAAUGGGCGAAAGCCUGAUCCAGCCAUGCCGCGUGCAGGAUGAAGGCCUUCGGGUUGUAAACUGCUUUUGUACGGAACGAAAAGGUUUGGCCUAAUAAGCUGAGCUCAUGACGGUACCGUAAGAAUAAGCACCGGCUAACUACGUGCCAGCCGCCGCGGUAA